rnacentral:lncRNA from 1 species
AACCCGACGUCUCGCGGGUCAAUAUUUUUUAUUAUCAUAACUUAAUAUGAAAAAUUUCCUAAUGAUAAAAAUAAAUCAAAUCAAGUCAAUUCCACAAGCUAAAAAAUCCAAAUAAUAGCUUAAUUUAACCUAAAAUUUUACCUAGCUUGGAAAAUUAUCUCCAAGAUGGAAACCAGCAAGGAACCAUUCCAAAUUCACCCUUCUCAAGCCUCAAGUGACCGGCGUCGGAGCUCAGGUGAGGACUAGGCGGUAGCAGCAGCAGGGAGGCGCGGCGUCGAUGACCGGCGAACAGCAGGAUCGCGGGUCGCAGCAAUGGUGGCUCGGGCUGAGGCGCAAUGGCGGAGGCGGUAGCUGCAGCAGCAAAAGGGGCUGUACAGACGUCAAGCGCCGAGCGAAAGAUGGCAAUGGGGG